UACGAAGGGGGCUAGCGUUGUUCGGAAUUACUGGGCGUAAAGCGUAUGCAGGCGGAUCGUUAAGUUGGAGGUGAAAUCCCGAGGCUCAACCUCGGAACUGCCUUCAAUACUGGCUAUCUUGAGUCCGGGAGAGGUGAGUGGAACUGCGAGUGUAGAGGUGCAAUUCUUAGAUAUUCGCAAGAACACCAGUGGCGAAGGCGGCUCACUGGCCCGUUACUGACGCUGAGAUACGAAAGCGUGGGGAGCAAACAGG
rnacentral:rRNA from 1 species